GGGUUGUGAGGUUAAGCGACUAAGCGUACACGGUGGAUGCCCUGGCAGUCAGAGGCGAUGAAGGACGUGCUAAUCUGCGAUAAGCGUCGGUAAGGUGAUAUGAACCGUUAUAACCGGCGAUUUCCGAAUGGGGAAACCCAGUGUGAUUCGUCACACUAUCAUUAACUGAAUCCAUAGGUUAAUGAGGCGAACCGGGGGAACUGAAACAUCUAAGUACCCCGAGGAAAAGAAAUCAACCGAGAUUCCCCCAGUAGCGGCGAGCGAACGGGGAGCAGCCCAGAGCCUGAAUCAGUGUGUGUGUUAGUGGAAGCGUCUGGAAAGGCGUGCGAUACAGGGUGACAGCCCCGUACACAAAAAUGCACAUGCUGUGAGCUCGAUGAGUAGGGCGGGACACGUGGUAUCCUGUCUGAAUAUGGGGGGACCAUCCUCCAAGGCUAAAUACUCCUGACUGACCGAUAGUGAACCAGUACCGUGAGGGAAAGGCGAAAAGAACCCCGGCGAGGGGAGUGAAAAAGAACCUGAAACCGUGUACGUACAAGCAGUGGGAGCACAGAGCAAUCUGUGUGACUGCGUACCUUUUGUAUAAUGGGUCAGCGACUUAUAUUCUGUAGCAAGGUUAACCGAAUAGGGGAGCCGAAGGGAAACCGAGUCUUAACUGGGCGUUAAGUUGCAGGGUAUAGACCCGAAACCCGGUGAUCUAGCCAUGGGCAGGUUGAAGGUUGGGUAACACUAACUGGAGGACCGAACCGACUAAUGUUGAAAAAUUAGCGGAUGACUUGUGGCUGGGGGUGAAAGGCCAAUCAAACCGGGAGAUAGCUGGUUCUCCCCGAAAGCUAUUUAGGUAGCGCCUCGUGAAUUCAUCUCCGGGGGUAGAGCACUGUUUCGGCAAGGGGGUCAUCCCGACUUACCAACCCGAUGCAAACUGCGAAUACCGGAGAAUGUUAUCACGGGAGACACACGGCGGGUGCUAACGUCCGUCGUGAAGAGGGAAACAACCCAGACCGCCAGCUAAGGUCCCAAAGUCAUGGUUAAGUGGGAAACGAUGUGGGAAGGCCCAGACAGCCAGGAUGUUGGCUUAGAAGCAGCCAUCAUUUAAAGAAAGCGUAAUAGCUCACUGGUCGAGUCGGCCUGCGCGGAAGAUGUAACGGGGCUAAACCAUGCACCGAAGCUGCGGCAGCGACGCUUAUGCGUUGUUGGGUAGGGGAGCGUUCUGUAAGCCUGCGAAGGUGUGCUGUGAGGCAUGCUGGAGGUAUCAGAAGUGCGAAUGCUGACAUAAGUAACGAUAAAGCGGGUGAAAAGCCCGCUCGCCGGAAGACCAAGGGUUCCUGUCCAACGUUAAUCGGGGCAGGGUGAGUCGACCCCUAAGGCGAGGCCGAAAGGCGUAGUCGAUGGGAAACAGGUUAAUAUUCCUGUACUUGGUGUUACUGCGAAGGGGGGACGGAGAAGGCUAUGUUGGCCGGGCGACGGUUGUCCCGGUUUAAGCGUGUAGGCUGGUUUUCCAGGCAAAUCCGGAAAAUCAAGGCUGAGGCGUGAUGACGAGGCACUACGGUGCUGAAGCAACAAAUGCCCUGCUUCCAGGAAAAGCCUCUAAGCAUCAGGUAACAUCAAAUCGUACCCCAAACCGACACAGGUGGUCAGGUAGAGAAUACCAAGGCGCUUGAGAGAACUCGGGUGAAGGAACUAGGCAAAAUGGUGCCGUAACUUCGGGAGAAGGCACGCUGAUAUGUAGGUGAAGUCCCUCGCGGAUGGAGCUGAAAUCAGUCGAAGAUACCAGCUGGCUGCAACUGUUUAUUAAAAACACAGCACUGUGCAAACACGAAAGUGGACGUAUACGGUGUGACGCCUGCCCGGUGCCGGAAGGUUAAUUGAUGGGGUUAGCGCAAGCGAAGCUCUUGAUCGAAGCCCCGGUAAACGGCGGCCGUAACUAUAACGGUCCUAAGGUAGCGAAAUUCCUUGUCGGGUAAGUUCCGACCUGCACGAAUGGCGUAAUGAUGGCCAGGCUGUCUCCACCCGAGACUCAGUGAAAUUGAACUCGCUGUGAAGAUGCAGUGUACCCGCGGCAAGACGGAAAGACCCCGUGAACCUUUACUAUAGCUUGACACUGAACAUUGAGCCUUGAUGUGUAGGAUAGGUGGGAGGCUUUGAAGUGUGGACGCCAGUCUGCAUGGAGCCGACCUUGAAAUACCACCCUUUAAUGUUUGAUGUUCUAACGUUGACCCGUAAUCCGGGUUGCGGACAGUGUCUGGUGGGUAGUUUGACUGGGGCGGUCUCCUCCUAAAGAGUAACGGAGGAGCACGAAGGUUGGCUAAUCCUGGUCGGACAUCAGGAGGUUAGUGCAAUGGCAUAAGCCAGCUUGACUGCGAGCGUGACGGCGCGAGCAGGUGCGAAAGCAGGUCAUAGUGAUCCGGUGGUUCUGAAUGGAAGGGCCAUCGCUCAACGGAUAAAAGGUACUCCGGGGAUAACAGGCUGAUACCGCCCAAGAGUUCAUAUCGACGGCGGUGUUUGGCACCUCGAUGUCGGCUCAUCACAUCCUGGGGCUGAAGUAGGUCCCAAGGGUAUGGCUGUUCGCCAUUUAAAGUGGUACGCGAGCUGGGUUUAGAACGUCGUGAGACAGUUCGGUCCCUAUCUGCCGUGGGCGCUGGAGAACUGAGGGGGGCUGCUCCUAGUACGAGAGGACCGGAGUGGACGCAUCACUGGUGUUCGGGUUGUCAUGCCAAUGGCACUGCCCGGUAGCUAAAUGCGGAAGAGAUAAGUGCUGAAAGCAUCUAAGCACGAAACUUGCCCCGAGAUGAGUUCUCCCUGACUCCUUGAGAGUCCUGAAGGAACGUUGAAGACGACGACGUUGAUAGGCCGGGUGUGUAAGCGCAGCGAUGCGUUGAGCUAACCGGUACUAAUGAACCGUGAGGCUUAACCUUACAACGCCGAAGCUGUU
rnacentral:rRNA from 1 species